CUACGGGAGGCAGCAGUGGGGAAUAUUGGACAAUGGGGGCAACCCUGAUCCAGCAAUGCCGCGUGUGUGAAGAAGGCCUGAGGGUUGUAAAGCACUUUCAGUGGGGAGGAGGCUUGCCAGGUUAAGAGCUAGGUAAGUGGACGUUACCCACAGAAGAAGCACCGGCUAACUCCGUGCCAGCAGCCGCGGUAAUACGGAGGGUGCAAGCGUUAAUCGGAAUUACUGGGCGUAAAGGGUUCGUAGGUGGUUUGAUAAGUUAUCUGUAAAAGCCCUGGGCUCAACCUAGGAAUGUCAGGUAAUACUGUUAGACUCGAGUAUGGGAGAGGGUAGUGGAAUUUCCGGUGUAGCGGUGAAAUGCGUAGAGAUCGGAAGGAACACCAGUGGCGAAGGCGGCUACCUGGCCUAAUACUGACACUGAGGAACGAAAGCGUGGGGAGCAAACAGGAUUAGAUACCCUAGUAGUCC
rnacentral:rRNA from 1 species